rnacentral:rRNA from 1 species
UUAGAUACCCUAUUAUACUGAUAAUAACCUGGAUUAUUGUUAGAUAUGUUCUUUAAAUUUAAAGAAUUUGGCGGUGGUUUAGUCUUGUUAGAGGAACCUGUUUUUGAAUCGAUAGUCCACGAAAUAUCUUACUCAUUUUUGUGAUAACAGCUUAUAUACCGUCAUUAUCAGAUAAUUUUUAAAGAAAACAAUUAUUAUAAUUUAAAUGUCACAAUUAAAUAAAAUUAGAUCAAGGUGUAGCUGAUAAGUGAGUUUAAAUGGGUUACAAUAAAAUUUAUUUAUUAUGGAGUGGCUAUGAUAAAUGUGUCAUAAAGGAGGAUUUAAUUGUAAUUGGAGUUUAACAUGCUCUAGAGAUAUUAGCUCUAAACCAUGUACAUAUCGCCCG